ensembl:snRNA U6 U6 spliceosomal RNA
GUGCUCUCUUCAGCCACACAUGCACUAAAAUUGGAACGAAGCAAAGAUUAGCAUGGCCCCAGCAUGGGGAUGACACACGAGUUGAUGAAGCACUCCAUAUUUUU